GAGAACGCUGGCGGCGUGCCUGACACAUGCAAGUCGGACGGUUCUUGCACCUUCAAGCUUGCUUGCUGGUGCAGGGAUAGUGGCGGACGGGUGAGUAACGCGUGAACAUCUACCCAUUGGAGGGGGACAACCCGUCGAAAGGCGGGCUAAUACCGCGUAAGCCGUGAGGUGAGAGGCUGCCUAUUGGUGGCCGCCGAUGGAUGGGUUCGCGUCCUAUCAGCUGGUUGGUGGGGUAACGGCCUACCAAGGCGAAGACGGGUAGCCGGUCUGAGAGGAUGGCCGGCCACACUGGAACUGAGACACGGUCCAGACUCCUACGGGAGGCAGCAGUAAGGAAUAUUGGUCAAUGGACGCAAGUCUGAACCAGCCAUGCCGCGUGAAGGAAGACGGCCCUACGGGUUGUAAACUUCUUUUGUACGGAAAAAAACCACCGGUCGUGAACCGGUGCUGAUGGUACCGUAAGAAUAAGCAUCGGCUAACUCCGUG
rnacentral:rRNA from 1 species